rnacentral:piRNA from 1 species
UUAAGAGAGAGGAAUCUCACCCCCC